UUCCGGUUGAUCCUGCCGGACCUCACUGCUAUCGGGGUGAGACUAAGCCAUGCAAGUCUAGGCCCAUAGCCAUCUGUGGGCCUGGCGUACGGCUCAGUAACACGUGGCCAACCUACCCCGAGGAGGCGGAUAACCCCGGGAAACUGGGGUAUAAACCGCCAUAGGUGAGGGGUUCUGGAACGACCCUUCGCUGAAAGACGUGCGCGGGGAUGCCUGUGCACGUGCCUCGGGAUGGGGCUGCGGCCCAUCAGGUAGUUGGUGGGGUAACGGCCCACCAAGCCUAUAACGGGUACGGGCCCUGAGGGGGGGAGCCCGGAGAUGGACUCUGAGACAAGAGUCCAGGCCCUACGGGGCGCAGCAGGCGCGAAAACUCCGCAAUGCGCUCACGCGUGACGGGGUUACCCCGAGUGCCACCCUCGUGGUGGCUUUUGCGCGGUCUAAAAAGCCGCGCGAAUAAGCGGGGGGCAAGACGGGUGUCAGCCGCCGC
rnacentral:rRNA from 1 species